UACAGAGACUGCAAGCGUUAUUCGGAUUCACUGGGCGUAAAGGGCGCGUAGGCGGCUCUGUUAGUCAGGCGUGAAAGCCCUGGGCUCAACCUGGGGACUGCGCUUGAUACGGCGGGGCUUGAGGGCAGGAGAGGCUCGCGGAAUUCCCAGUGUAGAGGUGAAAUUCGUAGAUAUUGGGAAGAACACCGGUGGCGAAGGCGGCGAGCUGGCCUGUUACUGACGCUGAGGCGCGACAGCGUGGGGAGCAAACAGG
rnacentral:rRNA from 1 species